rnacentral:rRNA from 1 species
GACAGAGGGUGCAAACGUUGUUCGGAUUUACUGGGCGUAAAGCGUGUGUAGGCGGCUUCGCAAGUUGGAUGUGAAAUCCCACGGCUUAACCGUGGAACUGCUCGGCAUACUGGCGGUCUUGAGCCAUCUAGGGGCUACCGGAACAAAUGGUGGAGCGGUGAAAUGCGUAGAUAUCAUUUGGAACGCCAAUGGUGAAAACAGGUAGCUGGGGAUGUGCUGACGCUGAGACACGAAAGCCAGGGGAGCGAACGGG